rnacentral:rRNA from 1 species
UCUGUUUGAUUCUGGCUCAGAACGAACGCUGGCGGCGUGGAUAAGACAUGCAAGUCGAACGAGAGAAUUGCUAGCUUGCUAAUAAUUCUCUAGUGGCGCACGGGUGAGUAACACGUGAGUAACCUGCCCCCGAGAGCGGGAUAGCCCUGGGAAACUGGGAUUAAUACCGCAUAGUAUCGAAAGAUUAAAGCAGCAAUGCGCUUGGGGAUGGGCUCGCGGCCUAUUAGUUAGUUGGUGAGGUAACGGCUCACCAAGGCGAUGACGGGUAGCCGGUCUGAGAGGAUGUCCGGCCACACUGGAACUGAGACACGGUCCAGACACCUACGGGUGGCAGCAGUCGAGAAUCAUUCACAAUGGGGGAAACCCUGAUGGUGCGACGCCGCGUGGGGGAAUGAAGGUCUUCGGAUUGUAAACCCCUGUCAUGUGGGAGCAAAUUAAAAAGAUAGUACCACAAGAGGAAGAGACGGCUAACUCUGUGCCAGCAGCCGCGGUAAUACAGAGGUCUCAAGCGUUGUUCGGAAUCACUGGGCGUAAAGCGUGCGUAGGCUGUUUCGUAAGUCGUGUGUGAAAGGCGCGGGCUCAACCCGCGGACGGCACAUGAUACUGCGAGACUAGAGUAAUGGAGGGGGAACCGGAAUUCUCGGUGUAGCAGUGAAAUGCGUAGAUAUCGAGAGGAACACUCGUGGCGAAGGCGGGUUCCUGGACAUUAACUGACGCUGAGGCACGAAGGCCAGGGGAGCGAAAGGGAUUAGAUACCCCUGUAGUCCUGGCAGUAAACGGUGCACGCUUGGUGUGCGGGGAAUCGACCCCCUGCGUGCCGGAGCUAACGCGUUAAGCGUGCCGCCUGGGGAGUACGGUCGCAAGAUUAAAACUCAAAGAAAUUGACGGGGACCCGCACAAGCGGUGGAGUAUGUGGCUUAAUUCGAUGCAACGCGAAGAACCUUACCUGGGCUUGACAUGUAAUGAACAACAUGUGAAAGCAUGCGACUCUUCGGAGGCGUUACACAGGUGCUGCAUGGCCGUCGUCAGCUCGUGUCGUGAGAUGUUUGGUUAAGUCCAGCAACGAGCGCAACCCCUGUUGCCAGUUACCAGCACGUGAAGGUGGGGACUCUGGCGAGACUGCCCAGAUCAACUGGGAGGAAGGUGGGGACGACGUCAGGUCAGUAUGGCCCUUAUGCCCAGGGCUGCACACGUACUACAAUGCCCAGUACAGAGGGGGCCGAAGCCGCGAGGCGGAGGAAAUCCUAAAAACUGGGCCCAGUUCGGACUGUAGGCUGCAACCCGCCUACACGAAGCCGGAAUCGCUAGUAAUGGCGCAUCAGCUACGGCGCCGUGAAUACGUUCCCGGGUCUUGUACACACCGCCCGUCACAUCAUGGAAGCCGGUCGCACCCGAAGUAUCUGAAGCCAACCGCAAGGAGGCAGGGUCCUAAGGUGAGACUGGUAACUGGGAUGAAGUCGGAACAAGGUAGCCGUAGGAGAUCGGAAGA